GACGAACGCUGGCGGCGUGCUUAACACAUGCAAGUCGAACGGAAAGGCCCUGCUUGCAGGGUACUCGAGUGGCGAACGGGUGAGUAACACGUGGGUGAUCUGCCCUGCACUUCGGGAUAAGCCUGGGAAACUGGGUCUAAUACCGGAUAGGAGCCAUUUUUAGUGUGAUGGUUGGAAAGUUUUUUCGGUGUAGGAUGAGCUCGCGGCCUAUCAGCUUGUUGGUGGGGUAAUGGCCUACCAAGGCGGCGACGGGUAGCCGGCCUGAGAGGGUGGACGGCCACAUUGGGAUUGAGAUACGGCCCAGACUCCUACGGGAGGCAGCAGUGGGGAAUAUUGCACAAUGGGCGCAAGCCUGAUGCAGCGACGCCGCGUGGGGGAUGACGGCCUUCGGGUUGUAAACUCCUUUCGCUAGGGACGAAGCUUUUUGUGACGGUACCUAGAUAAGAAGCACCGGCUAACUACGUG
rnacentral:rRNA from 1 species